rnacentral:rRNA from 1 species
GGGGACAACAGCUGGAAACGGCUGCUAAUACCGCAUAAGCCUACAGUACCGCAUGGUACAGCAGGAAAAACUCCGGUGGUACAGGAUGGGCCCGCGUCUGAUUAGUUAGUUGGCAGGGUAACGGCCUACCAAGACAACGAUCAGUAGCCGGCUUGAGAGAGUGAACGGCCACAUUGGGACUGAGACACGGCCCAAACUCCUACGGGAGGCAGCAGUGGGGAAUAUUGCACAAUGGGGGGAACCCUGAUGCAGCAACGCCGCGUGAGUGAAGAAGUAUUUCGGUAUGUAAAGCUCUAUCAGCAGGGAAGAAAAUGACGGUACCUGACUAAGAAGCUCCGGCUAAAUACGUGCCAGCAGCCGCGGUAAUACGUAUGGAGCAAGCGUUAUCCGGAUUUACUGGGUGUAAAGGGAGCGCAGGCGGUACGGCAAGUCCGAUGUGAAAACCCGGGGCUCAACCCCGGGACUGCAUUGGAAACUGCCGCACUAGAGUGCCGGAGAGGUAAGUGGAAUUCCUAGUGUAGCGGUGAAAUGCGUAGAUAUUAGGAGGAACACCAGUGGCGAAGGCGGCUUACUGGACGGUAACUGAC